rnacentral:lncRNA from 1 species
CAACAUAACCUCCAAAGUCAUGAUUUGACAAAACAUUGGCCGGGAGAAAGCUAGGUACCAACUGUACUUGACAGCACAAUCUGAUUCAUAACUUUUUUAGUUAAAGUCCCGUUGACUCAGCAUUAAGUAAACUUAAUUUUAACACUUAUUUGGACAAUUUUGGCUGGAAUUUAAUUAAGUCAACGCAAAAUUUUGCCAUUAUUCAAGUGCAAUCUAUUUCAUGGAGAAGAAAUUUAGGGAAACUACCGUUUGAGAUACUUGCAUCACUGAUUCUAUUAAAAGUUUUAAAACUCCGUCCAAGGAGAUGUUUUCCAUAUUAUUGUGUAAUCUGGCCGGGAUAUCAAUCAACGCUUAUUCAUUUUUUGAUCUUAAUUCUCAGUGCGGUAUGCGGUCUCGAUCCGGGAUAAGUAUUCGAUAUUGCUUUAAAAUAAAAGUGAAUAUUAUUUCGAAAUUAGCGUCGCUUUAAUGGUCUAUUAUCUGUUCACUUAAUUUCAAGUCCGAUGGUUGCUUAUGCUGAUGGCUAACGAGGACAGAAUUCCUUGCUUAUGUACAUUGGUUGUUCAUUAGCCUCGCCGGAGGUGACGCACAUGAUGUAGCUGGUCUCACCGCCGAGAAAACAAUUGACUACCCCCUCGAAGCAAAUCCGAGCUUGGGCCACGGAAAAGACGCUGCUAACAAUGGAGAGAAAGUGGAAAGAACUGGAGCUAAGCGCGGAACCCUCGUCGAAGGAGGCAGAGAGCCCUUGCCGGACGUGGCGCUGGAGUCUGAGCAACAACUGAGCAUCCGCACCCCGCCUAGGAGUGGGCUCCAGACAGGUUUCUCCUUCAACCCGAUCAACCUUGAUCUCAGUGGACGCCUUUCCGGCGACCCGGAAAUCCAACAAAAAUUCAUCGCGGCGACUGAAGAUACACAGCGACUGUUAGAGGAGUACCCCGACUUAGCGCAAAAAAUCGAAAGACUGCGGAAUAAUGGACAAACCAGCGGCACGGAGACUUUCAUUGACAAAAACGGCACUACCCGAAUUAUCUCAUGGGACUCCCGAACCGGACAACAGAAAAUCUUCCGCCAAGAGUACACUCAGCCGGAAUUGUACCGGGUGGAAGUGCCACCAAUUCGGACAGAGCAAUCGUUUCGGAGAGAAGGGACACCCAUGCGGACGGAGGAAUCUUUCCGAUCGGGCACACCGGAUUUGAGCGAGUUAGUUAAAAAGGGAGGGGGGUCCGACUCCGAGUCCGGUAGCGACUCUGAAGAGGACGACGAUGACGACAAAGAUGACGAGCCCUCGGGUCCUCGUCAAGUGGGCAUUCUUCCUCAAGCUCAGGCUCGACGAUUAAGAGAACCAGAAGUAAAGGGUCCAAUAAGAGGCUUCGGGGCCAGGUAGUUGCUGUUGUGCACAAGAGAUGGGAGAAGAUCGAGUCAGGACACCAUUCAGCGUCACAGUCGCAGCAGAAGAAGACGAAACGUCAUAAGAAGGGGGCCAAAAGCAGUUCUUAUUCCAAGAGCAGUGGCAGCAGAAGCGCAUCUCACAGUGGAUACCACAGACCGUCGCGCACUAGAGCUCGAAAUUAUUCGCACAAGAGAAGCGCGUCUAGAAGUCCAUCCAUGUCUAAAAGUCCAUCCAGGAGUCCUUCCCCCAAAAGAGGAUCACGUAGUAAAAGUUAAAAAUCAUCGCUGAAAAGGCUCUGCUAUCAUUUCAAACUUCGGUUAUUUGAUCACUCGGAUAGUUAUGAGUGGGAUUUUUGUAUUUUAUAAUCUACAAGAUAAGUGAGAAAUCCGAUUGGUUUUCUCCAGAAAUAUGUUUUUAGAAGCCGGAGGAACUUCUUAGGUUUUUCAUAAAAAGCUGCUGAAUCCAUUUGUAAAAAAUGUAGAAUAAUUUAAUACCUCCAGUUUUGAAGCAAUCUGACACAAUAUACUUUCUUAUUUCUUGGAGCCUCGAUCUCAUUUUUUAUGAGCAUUGUUACAGUGGCGAAACGUGAAUGAUCGAUUUUCGGUAUUUCUCCGUUUGAAGCUAUGGUAAAGAAUCGAUUAUUAAGGUGUCCAUUGCGAACACCCUGUCUAUCGAUCCUUUCCCAUGUAUAUUGUUAUCGUUCGAAGGCCCUCCAGUAUCAUUUCUUCAUAUGUACUUAUCAUUAAUCGGGGCGAGCGGCGUUCAUGUCCAUUAUUCACUCAUUGGGCCAAUGCAAUCAUGAACUGACAUAUCAUCACAACGGUCAGUUGUAUUAAAGUCAAUAGAGUCAUACAAUGAUCCAUCUAUCGCAAUGGAGUAACUAAAGCUUCUAAACAAGUUUUAAGUUUAUGAAUAAACUCUAUUUUUGAUCUUAAUGAUCAAAAGCACGUUCAAACCGCUAAUUGCAGAAAUGCGUAGGUAUGGAGACCGGGGCUAUGUUGACCAGAUUUUUUGAAAACUUGUGUCUGAAGAAACAGAAGAAUAGAAUGCCAUUUUUUUAAUGCUCUAAUCCUUGAGCAUACAGAGUAAAAUUAAAAUCAACCGAAAACAUCAUACAAAAUACUUUAAUUUUGUUAGUUUCAUGCAUUUUUAAAAGAAAAUCCAUUUUGGUCAACAUAGCCCCUGCUUGGGGCUAUAUUGGCCACCCCCGGGCUAAGUGAGCCACCUGUAGGGAAGCUAUGUUAACCUUGUUCAGUUGAUUGUAAUUGCACUGAAAAAAGUUUAGUAUUAUGCCUUUACACUUAUCUUUCGUAAUUUUUAUAAAACUCAAUACCUUUGGAGCUGAAAAUUUAAAAUAAAAAAAAUUUUUUAAAGGACAGUAUCAAAAAUAAAAUAGUUGGCGUAAAAGGCAACUUAAAAAAUAAUAAGAAGAUCUACUUCUCCAUUAAAUAGGACCGUUUUAAACUUGUUGAAAAUGGUUGUGAAACCUUUCGCAAAAAAGUGUAAAAUGUAUGUUUUCUUAGUAGGUCAACAUAGCCCCAGAAAAAUGGUCCACAUAGCCCCGAUUGAGGUUACCUCAAAUCAAAGUCAUCCGACUAAGAAAGAAGGAAUCAAAAGUUAUAAAUCCAUACACUAAAAUCAAGGGAAAUGGGUCUACUUCAAAGAGAAACAAAGAUCAAUAAGAUAAAAAUAAAUACUCGCCACAACAAACAAAAUUCAAAAUUAAAAAAAUCGCAUUUUCGGGCUAUUUUCGAAGGUAAACAAUAAUGUUACAGCACAGAGCAUAAUAGAGGGGUAAACCAUCGAUGUUGAUGUUUUAAAUUGUUAGUCUUUACCGCUGCCAACCUUCUCUCUCACCAUGCAAACAUCAAAUUUCCCUUUUUCCCUACAAAAUUCCCACGAUGGUUAUUAUAGCCCCGUGGUCAACAUAACCCCGGUCUCCCCUAUCUCCUGAUCAAAUAUCAUUUUACAAUCAUACAAUGAUUGAUCCGGCCGUAUAAGACCAAACUAAAGCUUUUGACAAGGGAUUGUGAGCGUGAAACUCUUUUUAAGUCUUUAAUAAUCAAGAUCCGCCAACAACAGGUUUCAAACUUUAAUUGCAAAAAUGCGUAUCUUGUGAUAGAGUGUUAAUUCUUAGUGCCGAAAACGCAAGUCUCGGCAUUUCUGCCGUAUUUUCUAACAGUUCGAGAAGAAAUUCAAAGUGGUGAUGGAGUCUGAAAAGGCUUGCUACUCUCAAGUUUUACUAUCCCUCUACUGAAAAUAAGGAGGAAUGUAGACAGUUUUUUUACUCUCCUGGAAAGACGUGUUUUCCGAGAUACGCACAUCUGCACUUUCACCAUCGAUAUGUAUUAUACAUCAAGGGCCUUCGCAUUUGAUAGUGGUAGUAACUUUAUUUUUAAAAAAUUCAAAUGAAAAAGCCGUCAAAUUUUAUUUCUGAGGAGAUGCGAUGCAACCAAAAGUUGAAGUCGCUUUCAGAUCAGAAGUAUACCCUCACGUAUCUAAUUUUGCACUGCUGCUUUGUAAAUGGUUUUUGAAUGAGAUCGUUUCCCAACAAUUUACCCAAUGAAAGUUUUGUGAUGCUACGUAGGUAUGAGAAAAAAAUUUGCAAAGAAAUUUUAUUGUAGAAGAAGACAUGCUUAACUUACGAGAACGGCAGUAAAAUAGUUCGGAAACACAUCUCAUCGCAAGUAUCUCGAUUAAAUUCCAACAAGAAAUUACCUAAUAAUUAUCGAACGCCUGGCAUGGUUUUUAAUAAUGAAAAUGUUCGAUACCUACUUACCUUGAUUAAUUUAUUUGACCUUGAUACAUUUCGACGCAGUAAAAGUUUUUUCCUUGUUUUUUUAUGCUCUCAUUGGGAAUACCACCUGAUAAAAUAAUGAACCAUCUGAAUGAACAAAUCGUCCAUGCUACAAUAAACUUCGUAAACAGAUUCUCCCCUUCCUUAGAAAUAACAUGUGAUUGAAUCAGUGAAAUGAAGAUCGAGGUUCAAGAAUAUGUUUACCUCUUUCAAUCCACAGCAGUGGUUACUCAUAUAUCUGUAUGUCGAAAGAAGUUAACUACAUUUGAAAAAAUAAAUAAAUAAAACUAUGUGCACGAGAUGUGGAAGCCUCAUUUUCUCUUUUCAUUAUUCCAUAUUUCCUUUUUAAGCAUAAAUACAUCCAAUUUUGCAUUAUUUGCCAUGAAGAGCAAAGUUAA